rnacentral:rRNA from 1 species
CGGAGAAACAGAAGGGGAAGCUUGCCCUUGAUCCUUCGCGACGGGUGAGUAAUGCCUAGGAAUCUGCCUGGUAGUGGGGGACAACGUUUCGAAAGGAACGCUAAUACCGCAUACGUCCUACGGGAGAAAGCAGGGGACCUUCGGGCCUUGCGCUAUCAGAUGAGCCUAGGUCGGAUUAGCUAGUUGGUGAGGUAAUGGCUCACCAAGGCGACGAUCCGUAACUGGUCUGAGAGGAUGAUCAGUCACACUGGAACUGAGACACGGUCCAGACUCCUACGGGAGGCAGCAGUGGGGAAUAUUGGACAAUGGGCGAAAGCCUGAUCCAGCCAUGCCCGUGUGUGAAGAAGGUCUUCGGAUUGUAAGCACUUAAGUUGGAGGAGGGCAGUAAAUUAUACCUUGCUGUUUUGACUUCCCAAAAAUAAGCCCCGGCUACUCUGUGCCAGCACCCCGGUAUACAGAGGGUGCAGCGUUAUCGAAUUCUGGGCGUAAACCGCUAGGGGUUCGUUA